UGGACACUUAAACUUAGCAAUAGCCUAAGGAUUUUUUUUUUAAUCCUAAUUGCGUACCAUUCUUCUCUUACAUCGCUAAGGUCAUACUCGAGAAUCUCCGUCCCAUGAAGAAGACCAUUGCUGAGAUAGUGUCUUACCGAGUGGAGCUGAGGCUGCCGCAGCCGGAGAUGAACCCACUGCCCGUGUUUCAGAGGACAAGUCAGCUUUUACAGGACGUAAAGCUCUUGGAAAGUGUGACUCAGGAACAAAAUGAGUUACUAAAGAUUGUCAUAAAACAGACUAGUGAAUGUGAUGAAGAAACAGAAAAUCUGAAGCAGAUCAUAAGUGAUUAUUCAGCUGAGUUCUCCCUUGAACACACGUCACCGGACCAGGCCACCGACCUGCCGGCAGUACAGGUACGUUUCGCCCAUCCACCAGCUCACGUAGUCAUCACUUGUGAGUCCCUUGGAGUCGAGAAGCCCAGGUCGUUCUGCAGGCUGACAUCCAGCUUCUGUUUUUGAUUGAACCUGUUCAGUGUGUGUUUACUUUCCGUUCCUGUUCAUGGACUAGGGGACUACACGGUGUCGUUAUUAAAACACGCUGAAACGCGGGCUGCACGGUUCCCACCGGAACCUGCACCGGGGCUGCUGCAUCUGCUUCUUAUUUG
rnacentral:lncRNA from 1 species